AAAUGUGUUUGAAACAUCUCUGACCAUUUCUAAUCUGACUGCUGGUGAGCAGUAUACAAUAACUGUAACUGCUGUAGCUGCUGAUAAUCUCACUGAAGGAAAGAGUGAGACUACUUCCAAAUACACAAAACCUGAAGCAGUCAACAAUCUUAAUGUGACUGAGGUAACAACAACCUCUGUGUCUCUGAAUUGGACUGAACCUGAGGGGAAAAGACUGUUUUAUACAGUAAAGUGGGAAAAUGAAAACAAACAUUUGAAUACUAGUGAGACUCAGGCGAUUGUGACUGAGCUGACUCCUGGAGAGAACUACUGUUUUAAUGUCUCAGCUGUGGCUGGAGACAACAAAACAGAGAGUGAUGGGAGAAACAUUUGUCGAUUUACAAGUAAGAUUAUGAGCCUGCUACUAAGUGUCACACUUUGACAAGAUUUUUAUCGUUUUGUUUUUAAAAUGUUUGCAACAUACUGAUUUCUGCUCACAGAGCCUGAAGUAGUCACAGCCCUCAGAGUCUUUAAUGUAACAACAUCAUCUCUAUCUGUGAACUGGACAAAACCAACGGGAAGCAGCUCUUUCUAUAGAGUUCAAUGGGAAGGUGGAAGAAUAAAUCACCAAAGAAAUGUGUUUGAAACAUCUCUGACCAUUUCUAAUCUGACUGCUGGUGAGCAGUAUACAAUAACUGUAACUGCUGUAGCUGCUGAUAAUCUCACUGAAGGAAAGAGUGAGACUACUUCCAAAUACACAAAACCUGAAGCAGUCAACAAUCUUAAUGUGACUGAGGUAACAACAACCUCUGUGUCUCUGAAUUGGACUGAACCUGAGGGGAAAAGACUGUUUUAUACAGUAAAGUGGGAAAAUGAAAACAAACAUUUGAAUACUAGUGGAACUCAGGCGAUUGUGACUGAGCUGACUCCUGGAGAGAACUACUGUUUUAAUGUCUCAGCUGUGGCUGGAGACAACAAAACAGAGAGUGAUGGGAGAAACAUUUGUCGAUUUACAAGUAAGAUUAUGAGCCUGCUACUAAGUGUCACACUUUGACAAGAUUUUCAUCCUUUUGUUUUUAAAAUGUUUGCAACAUACUAAUUUGUGCUCACAGAGCCUGAAGUAGUCACAGCCCUCGCAGUCUUUAAUGUAACAACAUCAUCUCUAUCUGUGAACUGGACAAAACCAACGGGAAGCAGCUCUUUCUAUAGAGUUCAAUGGGAAGGUGGAAGAAUAAAUCACCAAAGAAAUGUGUUUGAAACAUCUCUGACCAUUUCUAAUCUGACUGCUGGUGAGCAGUAUACAAUAACUGUAACUGCUGUAGCUGCUGAUAAUCUCACUGAAGGAAAGAGUGAGACUACUUCCAAAUACACAAGUGAGUGAGCUUCAAUCUCUGGGAAAUAUUUAGAGAUGGAUGGAUCGAUUGAUGGUUGCAACAUUUAGAAAUAACCAAGGGUGAAAUAAGUAGUCUGUUUGUAGUAAA